GCUGCAAAUUCCAAUAACACAUGUCCUUGGAUUGUGGAUUCCGGGGCAUCCGACCAUAUGUCAGGUUGUGGGCUCGGAGAAGGUGAUUGGCAGUGCUGAAGUUUGCGGUGGUCUCUAUAUUCUCAAAAACACUCCUAAAAAUAAACAAGUCCCCAGGUCAAAUUAUGGUUUCAAUUCUGUUUCUGUCUCCAAUGAGAGUCUAGUCAUGUUGUGGCAUUUUCGCCUUGGACAUCCAAAUUUUGUUUAUCUUU